rnacentral:rRNA from 1 species
AGUGAACGCUGGCGGUAGGCCUAACACAUGCAAGUCGAACGGCAGCACAGUAAUAGCUUGCUCUUACGGGUGGCGAGUGGCGGACGGGUGAGGAAUACAUCGGAAUCUACUUUUUCGUGGGGGAUAACGUAGGGAAACUUACGCUAAUACCGCAUACGACCUACGGGUGAAAGCAGGGGAUCUUCGGACCUUGCGCGAUUGAAUGAGCCGAUGUCGGAUUAGCUAGUUGGCGGGGUAAAGGCCCACCAAGGCGACGAUCCGUAGCUGGUCUGAGAGGAUGAUCAGCCACACUGGAACUGAGACACGGUCCAGACUCCUACGGGAGGCAGCAGUGGGGAAUAGUGGACAAUGGGCGCAAGCCUGAUCCAGCCAUACCGCGUGGGUGAAGAAGGCCUUCGGGUUGUAAAGCCCUUUUGUUGGGAAAGAAAAGCAGCAGGUUAAUACCCCGCUGUUCUGACGGUACCCAAAGAAUAAGCACCGGCUAACUUCGUG